rnacentral:rRNA from 1 species
CACCGCCCGUCACACCAUGGGAGUUGGCUUUACCCGAAGCCGGUGCGCUGACCCUGUUCUUCGGAACGGGGAGGCAGCCGUCCACGGUAAGGUCAGCGACUGGGGUG